AUGCACGGAUCGGGAGCAGCUCCGGGCUUUGUGCGCUGCUGCUUUCUCGGCAAAUCUGCCUGCACACCGCUCCCACAGCCCCCGGACCCCCAGCCCCGGCCAUGGGCUCGCCCAACCGCGCAGUGCCCCCGCUCAACACCCGCUGCCGUCAUGUCAGCACGCGGCCGGCACCCUAACAGCACUUCAGCUGUUGAGUUCUCCGCCGUCUUCGCUCGGCUUUGGGUCUCACAAAACCAAACGAGAGCGGCGGCUCCGCAGCCCCACGCACGGACACGCCGGUUUAUAGGUACACUUCUGCUUCUGGAAUGGAGGGGAGCACACCUCACCGGCACCCAGAGCACAAACUGUCAGCAUCCCAUCUGCUGAGGAUGCCGCUAAGGUGCCACCUGGACAUCCGAGUAAUUCUGGGGUUGUCACUGUUUUUUACAAAGACAAAAUAAAUGGAAGGAAGAUGGACA
rnacentral:lncRNA from 1 species